AAAAUUGCCUCUGUUAUCUGUUAUGAUUGUCUCCAUCAAUUGGAAACCUUAUUAACAUGAAAUCCUUGGCCUUAAGCGCAAAUGAACUGUCAGGGGAGGUACCAAAGGAAUUGGGACUACUUACUGACCUAUCUUUUUUGUACUUACCAAUGAACAAUUUCUCUGGUCAGCUACCGCCAGAACUAGGGAAUUUAAACAAAUUAAAAAUACUUAGUCUUUUCAGUUCUGGAGUUAGUGGCGAGAUUCCUUCAACAUUUGAAAAUCUCC